AACGCCCAAAAAUUUCGUUAGUUAGAUUGAGCAUAUUUGAGACUAUUUAAAAUAUAUAUAAUAAAAUAAAUAAUAAAAAUAAAAUAGUAAUCACCCAUAAAAAUAAAUCAAAACCCAAGAAGAAAAUUUUGGUCAUAAGGAGAAAAAGAUUUUCAAAAAGCUUUUUCCCGUAAAGCAAGAAUCUACAAAACCCCCCAUUGCUUCUCCCCCAUGUGAUAGUAAAAAUAAAAAAAAUAAUAAAAAAAAAGGGGGGAAGAAAUAAAUUAAGAGAAACAUUUAUUCUGCUCAUCCCCACGUUGCGUCCAGGUGUUGUCGAAGAAGGAGGGGAGGCUUCACGUAUUAUGUUUCUCUUUAUUCCUCUCUCUCUCUCUCUCUCUCUUUGUUACGAAGAACCCACCCUCAUCUGUGUUUUCUCUACCGAGACACACCGCCUUCCUUUCCUCUCGCUUCCGUUCAUCUCCACCAAGCCCAACCCCAUCUCGACCUUUCACGACCGGCGCCUCCAUCCAGUAUCAGAAUCGUUGCCGUUCGGUUCCGUUCAGAGCUUUUGCCGCCGACCGCGAAGCCCAACUCGCCCGACGCUUCCUCUUCCUUCUGUCGGUGAAGAAAAUCCAGGCAAGUAGGGCUGCUAUUAAGGUCUUGAGUUCAUGGAUUAACUUUGCCCAACUGUGCAAGACGAUUUCGGACUUGGUAUUGCGAUUUAGGUGCAGAAGUUGGUUGCAAAAGCUCUGUCCAGAGCUGGGUUGAGAGCGUAUGGGUUCGUUACUGUCCGGAUGCUGAGUGUAGAGCUGUCCUUGGGGUCUAGGGUGUUCAGAUGAACUCAUCAUAGCUCGGCAUGUGCGAUGUAUGGACUGAGGUUGCUGUUUAAGUCCAAGAUUGGGUACCGGAAUGCACGUUUUGGACUGGGUAGGCCUUUGAUGUAACCACUUAAUUCCAGCGAGUCGUGGGUGUCGAGAAUUGCUUAGUCGAUCGCUCAAAGACUUCCGUUUGGUUAAUUGGUUCCAUUAUAUUUAAUUUAGGUUUGUAGAUUGUGAGUGUUUUGAGUUUUGCCUGCUGUUUUCCAGAACUGAGAACUCUUGACCUCGCUGGUUUGUCAAUUUUGUGUGGCUUGUUGUGUUGAGAUUUGGGUGAAACUUCUUUUAGGAAAGUUGUGCAAGAUACCUUAAAAUAUGACAUAUUUUUCAUGGAUUUUUCUGAGGUUAAAUAGUCAGCGUAUGGACAUAAGUUCCUAGCGGGUGUAUGCUGUGCAGAACUACAGUACAUGUGACUCUGUGACCUUACGAAUUUUCUAUAGAAGUUCCUAGCUUGAUUCUGGUCACGAUUCCUUCAUGAAAGUUGUAGCCGAUAUCUUCAUGUAUGACAUAUAAAAAUUUCGUAGAAAUUGGUGAAGUUUUAGGUACUGAAACAUACUCUUAAUUGUGCACGCUGAUGCUGGAAAACAGUUCAGUUUGUGAGUCUUUAGUUGUGUGAUUUGUUGCUCCUUGUACAUAAAUAAUUAGGUUCAGAAUCCUCCGUGAAAAAUGUUUGUUAAUGUCUUAUUUAUAAUCUACUAAAAUUUUAGGAUCUUUCAAGCCCAUUUCAUAUGGUUUUCAAAUUAAUUCCCGAAAAGUAUGCAUUCUGGUUAAGGUUGCCCAUAUUCUGAGUUUGUUGAAAUUCACGGGGAAGGUGAACGAAUUCCAGGUUAUGAUUUUCUGAUGGUGUUGCAUAUGACAUAUUGUCUGAUGUUGUGAUUUUGAUCUCAAUAAGACAUUGGUUACUUAAGAAUUUAAUGAGAUAGCUUGUGAUACCCAAGUUUGUUAAGUCUAGGACUCAUACUUGACUUUAGGAAAGAGAGAGCUGUUUUGUGCAUUGGAGUUGUUGAUGCUGCAACAAGGAGGAACUAUGAAUAUAUGAUUGGCUAAUGAGCCAAUGUGAGACCCCGGGUGUCGGGAUGCCUGGAGAGGGGUGAUGAAGAAUAGUAGUAUUCUCUCCAGAGGUCUGAGAAUGGCUGAAUAGCUUCUCAGGGGACCUCGUGAUGCCAGGUUGAGUGCGAGGGGGUUCAGGGUGGAGUGUCGUCUCCCCCUGGGUGAUUGUUGCAGCUAGAUUUAUGUGGAUUCAGCAAAUUGAUGACUUAUUUACCUAUUUGUCUGGUUAUUGGCCAAAUCCAAGUUAGGACUAACCGCCCACUUGCUGAGCUUUUAUUUUAAAAGCUCAUACUUGUUUAUUGUGUCUUUUCUCCAGAUUAGAAGGUGACUGAGGAGCACUCGAAGUGUGGGAGAGUUUUGUUUUUGUCGAUCUAUGUACAUACUCGAUAGGAUGGCGGGAUAUUUAGUGU
rnacentral:lncRNA from 1 species